UACGGAGGGUGCGAGCGUUAAUCGGAAUUACUGGGCGUAAAGGGCGCGUAGGCGGUCGAGUAAGUCGGAUGUGAAAGCCCCGGGCUUAACCUGGGAACUGCAUUCGAUACUGCUUGGCUAGAGUAUGGUAGAGGGAAGUGGAAUUCCGGGUGUAGCGGUGAAAUGCGUAGAUAUCCGGAGGAACACCGGUGGCGAAGGCGACUUCCUGGACCAAUACUGACGCUGAGGUGCGAAAGCGUGGGGAUCAAACAGG
rnacentral:rRNA from 1 species